AGGGAAUUUUCCGCAAUGGGCGCAAGCCUGACGGAGCAACGCCGCGUGAGUGAGGACGGCCUUCGGGUUGUAAAACUCUGUUCUUGAGGAAGAACCCUUCCGAGGCGAACAGCCUCGGAAGUUGACGGUACUCAAGGAGAAAGCCCCGGCUAACUACGUGCCAGCAGCCGCGGUAAUACGUAGGGGGCGAGCGUUAUCCGGAAUUAUUGGGCGUAAAGCGCGCGCAGGCGGCCGAUUAAGUCAGGUGUGAAAGGCUGCGGCUCAACCGCAGAGCGGCACCUGAAACUGGUCGGCUUGAGUGCAGGAGAGGGGAGUGGAAUUCCCGGUGUAGCGGUGGAAUGCGUAGAGAUCGGGAGGAACACCAGUGGCGAAGGCGGCUCUCUGGCCUGUAACUGACGCUGAGGCGCGAAAGCGUGGGGAGCAAAC
rnacentral:rRNA from 1 species